CCUACGGGUGGCAGCAGUAGGGAAUUUUUCGCAAUGGGCGAAAGCCUGAUGCAGCAACGCCGCGUGAACGAGACGCCCUUCGGGGUGGUAAGUUCUGUCAGUGGGGACGAAAAAUGACGGUACCCACAGAAGAAGCACCGGCUAACUCCGUGCCAGCAGCCGCGGUAAUACGUAGGGUGCAAGCGUUGUCCGAAAUCAUUGGGGGUAAAGAGUUCGUAGGCGGCCUGUAAAGUCAGGUGUUAAAGGCGCAGGCUCAACCUGUGGAUGGCACUUGAUACUGGCAAGCUGGAGGGCGGUAGAGGUAAAGGGAAUUUCUGGUGGAGCGGUGAAAUGCGUAGAUAUUAGGAGGAACACCGGUGGCGUAAGCGCUUUACUGGGCCGUAAUUGACGCUGAGGAACGAAAGCGAGGGGAGCAAAUGGGAUUAGAUACCCUAGUAGUC
rnacentral:rRNA from 1 species